CCAUCUCAAGAAAUCAAAAUCGCGUGGCUGAUCCCCGAGGCCAGGCGAGCCUCAGAACCUUAGACACACACACACGCGCACACACACACACACACACACACACACACACACACACACACACACACACACACAGGAUAAUGAGGCAGGGGACUAAUGGACUAACGCUCUGCCGUGACAGGAUAGGGAGGCUUCCCUCCAAUAAGGAGCAACGAGAGGAGAGGAAGGCCUCCCAGAGGGAGUUGAAGCAACUCCCGGGGCCGCUGCCGAAGCUGAUGUCGGUCUGCUCCUGCUGCGACAGGAAAAGUUCUCGCGUGUUAUUCGCCUAGCUCACGCAGCACGCACGCACUCACCCCGCAACGCACGCCAGCACGAACUCACUCCCCAACGCACGUUCGCUCGCACUCACCCCCCAACGCACGCACGCACGCACGCACGCACAUACGCAAGCACACACGCACGAACGAUCGGACGCACAAGCACGCACUCACCCCCCACCCACGCUCGCACGCACGAACGCAAGAACACACGCAAGAACGAACGGACGAACACACGCUCGCACACACCCAUCCCCAACGCACGCUCGCACGCACGAACACGAAUACACACGCACGAAGGAACGGAUGAACACACGCUCGCACGCACGAAUACGAGUACACACGCACGAAGGAACGGACGAACACACGCUCGCACGCACCCAUCCCCAGCGCACGCUCGCACGCACGAACACGAGUACACACACGCACGAAGGAACAGAUGAACACACGCUCGCACGCACGAACACGAGCAUACACACGCACGAAGGAACGGACGAACACACGCUCGCACGCACGAACACGAGCAUACACACGCACGAAGGAACGGACGAACACACGCUCGCACUCACGAACACGAGUAUACAUACCCACGAAGGAACGGACGAACACACGCUCGCAGGCACUGACCGCCCAACGCACGCAGCACACAAGCACUCACACACGCAAGCACGCACACAAUCACGUAUCCACGCAUGCACACGCACGCAAGCACACACACUCACGUACAGACGCACGCACCCACGCAAGCAUGCAGGCAGGCACGCACCCACGCAAGCAUGCAGGCAGGCACGCACGCACACACUCACUCACACAAGCAAGCACGCAGCCACGCACGAAAAAACGCACGAACUCACGCAAGUACGUAAGCACGCACGCACGCACGCAAGCACGCACGAAGGCACGGACACUCUGAUGACGACCCAGGCAACAAGGCACCCUGACACUCCCUGGACACUCUCUGAACAAUGGAUGGACACUCUGAUGACGACCCACGCAUCUAGCAUUAAGGCCUUAGGUGUUGUGUGUUGGGUAGGGUUGCUGACUCCUCUGGGGUGAAGGAGACUCAUCCUGAGCAGCAUACAGCACCAAGAUAAGGCGAUACAGCUACCCAACACAAGGAAACGGAAAAUAAAGAAAAUAACACCGAAGAAUUAAGAUUACAAUAUAAAGAACACAAACAUAAAGAAGUGAUAGGAACGCAAAAUCAAGAAAAGGAAAAAAAUCUAGCAGAGUAAGUCCUUUGGUGCUGUGUGUUGGGUAGGGUUGCUGACUUUUCUGGGGUGAGGGAGACUCAUCCUGAGCAGCAUACAGCACCAAGAUAGGGCGAUACAGCUAGCCUGCACAACAUCAGGAAACGUAAAAUAAAUAAAAAUAUCAUCGAAGAAUGGAUAUUACUGAAAAAGGAACACGAUAAUAAAGAACUUGUAGAAAAACAUCAUGAAAGUGAAAACCAAUCAUUGGGGCAAGCAUUAAGGCCUUUGGUGUUGUGUGUUGGGUAGGGUUGCUGACUCCUCUGGGGUGAGGGAGACUCAUCCUGAGCAGCAUACAGCACCAAGAAGAGGCAAUAUAGCUAGCCAACACAACACCAGGAAACGAAAAAUAAUGAUAAAGAACACCGAAGAAUGGAUAUUACUGAAAAGGAACACGAGAAUAAAGAUGUGAUAGAAACACAACAUCAUGAAAGUGAAACAACUCAUUGUGGCAAGCAUUAAGUCCUUUGGUGUUGUGUGUUGGGUAGGGUUGCUGACUCCUCUGGGGUGAGGGAGACUCAUCCUGAGCAGCAUACAGCACCAAGACAAGGCGAUACAGCUAGCCUGCACAACACCAGGAAACGGAAAAUUAAAUACCGAAGAAACGAUAUUACAGAAAAAGAAUACGAAAAUAAAAAAGUCUUGGAAACACAACAUGGACUGACACUCUGAUGACGACCCACGCAACAAGGCCCCUGACACUCCCUGGACACUCUCUGAACAAUGGACGGACACUCUGAUGACGACCCACGCAACAAGGCCCCUGACACUCCCUGGACACUCUCUGAACAAUGGACGGACACUCUGAUGACGACCCACGCAACAAGGCCCCUGACACUCCCUGGACACUCUCUGAACAAUGGACGGACACGCUGAUGACGACCCACGCAACAAGGCCCCUGACACUCCCUGGACACUCUGAACACUGCCCUGACCAUUUGCAACAAAAAAUCUCCUCACGACGUAACCUAAAAUGGACAAAAUCCCCCCCGACAAAAAAAAAAAAAAAUAGUUAACUUUCCAAACUAUAACGAAAUAGUUAAGUCACCAACAAGACAUCAAAAUAAAGAAGCCAUAAAAAAGAAAAAGAAAAAAGCAACAAAGAAAUCAACUCAAGCAGUAGUAAAAAAAAAAGACCUAACAAAUCUAAAAAGGUCAACUCCUGAUCAGUCAAAAAAUAGAAAACUAAAAACAUAUAAUGCCAAAAUGUAACGAAAAGUAUGAACUCAAAAGCAAGAAAGAAAAGUAAAAAAAAAGAAAAAAAAAUUAACCAAAAAUUAAUUCAACACCAAAAAAAAAACGAAACUGAGGAAAACUAAAACUAAGAGAAAAAAGAAAACCGGCAGCGGCUUGAUUAUCUUUGGCUUCAGCCUGGCUUA